AGGUCAAUUUGAAGAUUGACAUCUUCAUCAUAUUGAUCUUCUGGUCCAUGAAGACUGGCCUAUGUGUGACUUUGCCUACGGUUUCUUGACUCUGGCUGGCUGGCAUUUUAUACUCUCCAGUCUGUAGCUGCUGAAGUACCUGUAUUAAAUGUAAUCUUAGGUGUUGGCUUGAGACUACGUCCGUUCAGCCUUUAUUCCUGUUGAAUAGUUUGGUGCAUUGAUCCUAUCGGACGGCCAGUCCAUCUUUGGCUGCACAGGAGGGGAGAACAGAGUCCCAUACUGUGGUACAUUCCGCACUGCUGAGAUGCUCUGAUUAUUCCAUGCACAUUAUUGGACAUUUGAGUGACGUUGAGUCAUUUCAACCUAAUGAACUGAUUGGAAGCUGACUCGCCCCGAGACCUGCUCUCUUCCCAUGCGCCUGUUGGGUAACCACCAGAGAAGACUGCUCAGGCAUGAAUGUAAGCCAGUAGAAAGUCUUUGUUAGCUGGUGGGCACGUACACUGGGGGUUCAGGAUCUCAGUGUAGCCCCAGCCUCUCUCUGGUGAGCUUUUACGUACAAAAGCCAUGUCCUGGGUUAAGAAGAACACACAUCAGUUAACAAGAACAGUUAGCCAGAUGCAGAACUACAGAAGCCAAACUGCAAGGUUAGUCCAUUUAGAGACUUUCAGGGAACUGUAGACUUUGAUGGAUUGGGCCUUUGGUUUCAUUUUGGCAGGUGGUUCUGUCUCCCUGCUGUUUUACAGCCUGAGUGGCACUUCCACUAUGGAGUCAGUCAUGCUAAAGUCAGGGGCCCUGUUAACGGUAUCUUCCGUGUUACUUUUAUGAAACAUUUUAAGCUGCUCACACUCUAGUUGGUUUGACAACAUGUCUUGCCUGUCUGCAGUAUGCAGGUCACUAGACUUGGUGGUGAGCCUUGGGUAGUCUUCAAAGUGCUGUGAACGCAGCCUGAUGUCUUCAACCAAGCUGGCUGUGUAUUUGGCCUCCUAGUUUCUCAGGGAUACCUUCUCUGACUCAGCUCUGUUUUGCUGUCUGGUGGGUUUCUAUGAAGCAUUUUCUCUGCCUCAUUUCUCAUAUUCAGAUCUUGUCUUUGUUUCCUAGUUUCUAUCGAGUAGAACAGAGUUUUCUGUUUUGUGUUGUUUGCUAAAAUGGGUUCUGUGUGGGAGGCAUUACUUUAGAUUUUUUCCCCCCUGAAGGCUUUUUUAAAAUGAGUCCUUCAAUCCCACAACCAUUUUUAAUUAGGGUGUCGGGUCCUGGGGAGGGUCCCUGGGUUUCACCUUCCUUGAAGAAAAUGCUUAGUUUAAGAAACUAUUUGAAACUUAAAAUUUUGUUAGCUCAGGUCCUCACACUCAGCUUUUUAAGUGAGUUCUGGGGCCUAGAACUCGAGUAUUCACGCUUACAAGGUGAGCACCGACUAAACCACUGCCCUAAACCGUUUGUUCUGGGAUCGCUCUAUUUCCUUUCAAUUCUGCUUGAAAACUGAACCAUUGCUUCUUUAGCAAAUCUCUCUUUUUGCAUACCACAGAAAGCUACACAGAACAAAGAAGACAUUGUCAACAUUCUUUCUGAGGACUUUCCCAGCCAUACUAGUAACUAACUAAAUGCUCUGUGUACUUCCUAUAACUAGAGGUGACAACUUAGCAGACUUUCUACAACUACAUGAUGCAGGUGGCUUUUUUCCUUAGGUUCCAACAGAUGUCUUCUUUGCAUCUUUCCAGCUGUUCCGGGAGUCUUGGAUAGACCCCCCUACCAGCCAUUUGGUUCCCAAAGCCUCAUUUCGUUGGAACAUUCCAUUCCCUGUAGCAAUCGUCCUUUGUUUGUUGCGGCAUAACAAAUUACUUCACGAAUUUGAGGUUUAAAAACAACUAUUUAUUAUUUCUCAUGACUCUGCGGGUUGACUUGGCCUGUUUCCUGCUUUACAUUCGGCAUCUGUCGGGCAGAAAGAGUUGAGUCUCCAACACUGGCUCGCAUACAUGCCCCAUGCCUGGGUUGGGGGUGGCAGAAGAGGUGGCCUCCGCUGGGCUGCUGGCACACUUGGCCGUUCUCCCUGCUGCAUGCAGACCUAGGCCACCUCCUUCCCACAGCUCCUCCCUUCAUGGUGGCUCCAGUGUAAAUGGUGCUUUCGUUCCCAUGGCCCGCUGCUUCCCUGUGAGGCUUUCUUCGGUCCAUUGUCUCUUGGCCACCAAUAAAAGAAGCAACAGGCAAAGAAUGGGGCCUCAGAGACCUUUCCCGUCUCUGCUUUAGAUGUCCUCUAUGGUGUUUUGAAAACAGCUUGCAUCUUUCUCAGUGACUGAUAUUGGAGACAUUUUUGGUAGUCUUACCACUUCCUGAAGUGGGUGAGCAAAGGUGACAGGAGAGGGAAUGGGGAUGUAUGUGGGUGAAUUUGUUCAGAACUCUAAGAAAAGUGUUGAGGGCUUGGUUAUGAUUAGCAACUGCAUGAUACUUUUGGUAUUAUUGCUCUCCUUUUAGAUCUAAAAAUGUCAUCUGCUUACACAUCUUACUUUAAAAUUGAUAAAUCCCUUUAUCUUUAGCUUCCUAACAUGCCCUAAAGAUUGAAGAAAUAUUUUCAUUUUUAUUCAAUAAAUAAUAUUUCCCAAA
rnacentral:lncRNA from 1 species